rnacentral:rRNA from 1 species
UACGAAGGGGGCUAGCGUUGCUCGGAAUUACUGGGCGUAAAGGGCGCGUAGGCGGCCCCUUUUGUCGCGUGUGAAAGCCCCGGGCUCAACCUGGGAGGUGCGCGCGAAACGGGGGGGCUUGAGUUCGGGAGAGGAGCGUGGAAUUCCCAGUGUAGAGGUGAAAUUCGUAGAUAUUGGGAAGAACACCGGUGGCGAAGGCGGCGCUCUGGACCGAGACUGACGCUGAGGCGCGAAAGCGUGGGGAGCAAACAGG